UUCACAUAUCUAGAUGUGCUAAAUCUAGAUAUGCAGAUUUUUUCUUCACCGUAAGAGCGAUGGUGUACAUUGUACUUAAGUUAAAAGAACUCAUUGGAUAAGGCCAUUGUCAGCGCAAGGAUUCGAACCCGCAUCUCUUGCGUGAGAAGCGGGCGCUUACCCGACUGAGCUACCACCGCUCCAAAACCUAAUUUAACUAAAGUUGCGGAAGGUGAAAAAUCACAGCCUUCCACUUCAACUAUCCCUGCUACGCCAGGCAUUCCAAACUAGAACCAAAAAUAAUCCGUUCUUCAAAAACAGUUGCAACAAAAGAAGCGGCAAAAACAAGGCCUGCUGAACCAGAACAUCCUGCAACUAGUUCUACCGAACAGAUUGAUAAUGAGCCAGGGUCAGACAAAGAGUCUCUAGUUGUAGAACCCCCCGCUAAAAAAAGAAAGCAGGUCUAUAAAUUCAAUGAUGACUGGCUUUCGCAGUCGUUAUUUAGCAAAUGGCUGGAAAAGAAAGAAGGAAAAGACAAAGAUUGUGUGAAGUCUCAAUGGCUAAUCACAAACCUGUAUUGGAAAGACACAUGGCAACUACAAAACACCAAACAAAUGCUUGUGCUAUACAGGGCACUAAACACAUUGGUGACCUUAUAGCAAAAACUGCUGAUGCCAGCAAGGAUCAAGCAAGACCGGCAGAAGUAAAAGUCACUGCAUUUUUGGCUGAACAUAAUUUAUCAUUAUCGUUGGCUGAUUCUCUUGUCCCAUUCAUACGCAACACAUUCCCGGAUUCAACGAUUGCACGACAAAUGUCUUUAGGUCGUACUAAAGCCUUCUUCUUCUGACUAAAGUAGUAGCGCCAGCUUGUAGAUCCGAGUUGAUAAGCCAAUUAAAAACUCAUGGUAAUUUCUUCAGUUUGGUGAUGGACGAAACGACGGAUGUAUCUACAAAAAAACAAUGUGCAUUAUCCGUGAUAUUUUACAAUAGUCAGAUACGACCAACAGCAUGGUUGGGCAGCAUAAUUCAGUUUUCAGCCACUUGAAAGAAAACAUACCGAAUAUUACUUGCGUAAAAUGCAGCUGUCAUAUGAUUCAUUUAGUGGCAUCAAAAGCGUGCUCUAAACUUCCAAGCUCGAUCGAAGACCUCUUGAGACUCAUAGGAGCACACUUCAGUCGAAGCUCUAAAAGAGUAACCCGUCUUCAAGAAUGUCAGAAGUUUUACGAAGUGGAAAUACAUCAAAUAUUGAGCCCAUCUAACACCCGCUGGCUUUCUCUGAAAGCCUGUGUUGAUCGCACGCUAGAGCAUUACGUGGUCCUUACCGAAUAUUUCCGCCUGGAGAUGUUUGAAGAUGGCACAAGCGCUAACGUGCGUAUUUAUGAAGGUCUGGAAAAUAAACUCACAAAAGUGUACCUCGAAUUUCUUUCGUACAUAUUAGAGUUCCUAACCGACUUCACCAAACUAUUUCAAACAGAAACCCCACUUCUACACUGCUUAAAGCCAGAUAUAGAAAAAUUAAUCCGAGCCAUUACAUCAAAUUACAUGGAAUUAAACUAUGUCAAAAACGUUAAGCGCCGUUACUAAUAGAUCACGCCAACCCACUUUAUGUCACUUUAUGCCUCUAGAAAAAAUUUAUCUCGGCGUAAUGGCACAAGAUUCUGUGAUACAGAUCUUGCAAGAACAGCCAACAGUAUUACCUGAAGUGACCAAUCUCAGAAGAAACUGUCUCAAAUUCUACAUAGAAGUGAUCAAUCAAAUCAAAGACAGAUUUGAUUUUAGUUACCCUGUAUUUGACACCAUUUCUAUACUGGAUCCAAAAGUGGCGCAAGCGUUCGAACGCAAAGACUUGAAUGAAGUUCUAAAAAGAUUUCCGGUUUUGAAAACUGUUGUGGACGAGCUAGCUCUUCACAAAGAAUGGCGAGAGCAUGCUCUGCUGGACCAUGCCACACUGGAACUAGACCCAUCAUUAACGGCCACCAGCUACCGGAAUAUGGUCUUCAAGUUACGGAACAUUACCAAAGAACCUCUGUUUCCCAACUUAAAGAAAUUAAUUUGACUACUUCUAGUCCUCCCCUUUUCAAAUGCCUCGGUCGAACGGAUAUUUAGCCAGCUUAAACUCAUCAAGACUGAUAAUCGUAACAGAUUAAAUACAGACACCAUAUCAGCUCUCAUGAUGACGAAACAAACCAUCAAAAAUUCAAUAAAUUACGAACCGCCGAAAUCAAUUCUUAACAGCAGUAACUGGAAAUUUAAAUAAUUGCAUAUUCCUGUACUAACAAUUAUUGUAUUAUAAUUACCUAACGUCCUGAAUCUCCUGGUCCAAAGGUCGGUGAAGGCAUUUGUAAAUAUGCAUGACUUGUUUGUAAAUAUGCAUGACUUAUAUUAUUAAGGC